rnacentral:rRNA from 1 species
AUUGAACGCUGGCGGCAGGCCUAACACAUGCAAGUCGAACGGAGUGGCGAACGGGUGUGUAAUACGUGGGUCACCUGCCCUCCUUGGUGGGAUAAGCCUUGGAAGCGGGGUAUAAUACCGAAUAAAGGGGGAUGGGCUCGGGGCCUAUCAGCUUGUUGGUGGGGUGAUGGCCUACCAAGGCGGUGACGGGGAGCGGGCCUGAGAGGGUGACCGGGAACUGUGGGACUGAGAUACGGCCCAGACUACUACGGGAGGCAGCAGUGGGGGAUAUUGCACAAAGGCCGAAAGCCCGAUGCAGCGACGCCGCGUGGGGGCUGAAGGCUUUCGGGUUGUAAACCUCUGUCGCUAGCGAACGGGUAGGUGGAGAAGAAGCACCGGCUAACUACGUGCCAGCAGCCGCGGUAAUAC